GCCCCUUUAGCUCAGUGGAUAGAGCAACAGGUUUCUACCCUGUCAGUCGGGAGUUCGAAUCUCUCAAGGGGUA
rnacentral:tRNA from 1 species